rnacentral:misc_RNA from 1 species
GGAGAAGAGAGUUGAAAUGGUCAGAGAACAAAUGAGUUUAGCUCAUGAUCUGAACAAGAAAACCCAAAGUAAUCCUUCUGAGGUUCAGCCACUUAUGGUGAAGAAGAAAAGCAGUCUCAAGGACAAGGUAUCACUAUUUCUUGACUGAUACUUCUGAAGGUAGUUAGGUAGUAUAUUUGGAAGAACAAGUUUAGUUAAAUAUUAACUUAAACAUUUACUUGUCUGCUUAUUAAUUCCAUGAGAGAAUAUCUUUAUUUUAGAUUCUUCAUAGUAGUUUUCUCUCUGUCUCAUCAUUGUACAGAAAUUAUGAGAACUUGAUAUCCA